rnacentral:lncRNA from 1 species
CACCGUGAUUCUUCCCAUAGCAGACCCAGGGGCUCAAACCUGCGGGGGGCACAGACCGGUGCAGUCUGGAGGGAUCUGGAAGGACAUGAGGUCAGUUUCGUUUCAGGGCUUUGUCCUCCACCCGCACUGACAGCCUUCUUUCUCUCACACAGGCUCAACACGAUCCUAAACUCUGACCGGGUGCUGGUGCUCCAAGCCGGGAGGGUGGUGGAACUGGACUCCCCCUCAGCCCUGCGCAACCAGCCCCAUUCCCUGUUUAGGCAGCUCCUGCAGAGCAGCCAGCAGGGGGCCCACUCCCUUCCUGCCGCGUGCUGAGCCUCCCUCCCACUGGGGCGUGUGCUCCUUCCCACCAGGCCUGCUGGUUACAUCCUCCUCUGUGCUCCUACCUCUCCCCCACUCCCUCAGAGGGGACACAGCACCCUGGCUUCCUCCAUGAAAACCACUCCUAGUGGGGGCCGAAGACUGAGGCUUCCCCAGAACCAGCCCACGUGGGCCCUUUUACCCAGAAUUCUGGGCCGGUUUUCCUUCCGUAGAAGCCCACUUGCAUUUUCAUAAUUUUAUUUGAUAAAAUUCCUAUCUUACAUUCUGUGUUUUAAAAAAAUAAUAUUUCUGAUGUGAGGCUG